UGGCUCAGACGGUAAAGCGUCUGCCUGCAGUGCAGGAGACCCGGGUUCGAUUCCUGG
rnacentral:tRNA from 1 species